AUAACAAUAAUUUAAAAAAAUUAAACACAAAUAAGAGACCAAGGUUGUGGGAGAAUAUCAAUAUUCUAAGUACAGUGGGGCUAUCUUACAUGCUCCCUAUGGGUUCCUCAAAGUUGUUGGGAAAACCAUGUUUUAUUACAGAAUGGAACUUCUUAGCAGAAUGGACCCAUAAUGCACCCUUCCUGACAGAUAGAUGUAAUUGGGAAGAGAGGGUCCUUCAAACAACUGCCUUUGGUUUGUUAACCUAUUAAUAUUAAUGCAAAUGAUAUUAAAGCGUCAAAGUUUUCCAUAAAAGCACCUGUCAGUUGUAGUUGCCUGUCAUUAAGUAAAAAGAUAUACAAGCAGCCUCUUUAAUAUCCAUCGUUUAAUUGCAAAAUAUAAUUGUAAAAUCAA